rnacentral:sRNA from 1 species
GAAGAGGAGCGAACAUGGCAGCGCGUUGGCGGUUUUGGUGUGUCUCUGUGACCAUGGCGGUGGCGCUGCUCAUCGUUUGCGACGUUCCCUCAGCCUCUGCCCAAAGAAAGAAGGAGAUGGUGUUAUCUGAAAAGGUUAGUCAGCUGAUGGAAUGGACUAACAAAAGACCUGUAAUAAGAAUGAAUGGAGACAAGUUCCGUCGCCUUGUGAAAGCCCCACCGAGAAAUUACUCCGUUAUCGUCAUGUUCACUGCUCUCCAACUGCAUAGACAGUGUGUCGUUUGCAAGCAAGCUGAUGAAGAAUUCCAGAUCCUGGCAAACUCCUGGCGAUACUCCAGUGCAUUCACCAACAGGAUAUUUUUUGCCAUGGUGGAUUUUGAUGAAGGCUCUGAUGUAUUUCAGAUGCUAAACAUGAAUUCAGCUCCAACUUUCAUCAACUUUCCUGCAAAAGGGAAACCCAAACGGGGUGAUACAUAUGAGUUACAGGUGCGGGGUUUUUCAGCUGAGCAGAUUGCCCGGUGGAUCGCCGACAGAACUGACGUCAAUAUUAGAGUGAUUAGACCCCCAAAUUAUGCUGGUCCCCUUAUGUUGGGAUUGCUUUUGGCUGUUAUUGGUGGACUUGUGUAUCUUCGAAGAAGUAAUAUGGAAUUUCUCUUUAAUAAAACUGGAUGGGCUUUUGCAGCUUUGGUGAGUGAAUUUUAGAAGACAAAAAAUUAUUUGAAUAAAAUUCCUAAUAGUGUAUUUUUAGGUAAGCUUUUAUUUAUGUGAGAAGUAGCAUUUUAUUUCUUACCUGAGGAAAAUAGUUUUAUAUAUUUUAAUUUUCUGUCUUAAAAUCAGUUUGUUUCAUUCGUUAUCUCAUAAGGAUGGCCAGAACGUCAAGGAACUGAUUGUACCUGCCUUUUAUUCAACCUAAAUGACAGACUGUCAUCUCUAUGAAAAUCUCUAGUUGUUCUGAAAAUA